UCCGAUAACAUCGGAUAGUGCGGGUAUAUGAACCGUCAUGCAAGACGUCCCACCCACAGCACUAAAUUAUCUUGUUCUUAAUUAAAAUGGGAAGGAACUAAUUACGUUUUUCGGUUUUUACGGUUCGACCGUGUAUAUAUACGCUGCCGGUAUCUUGCCACGGGAUGCACUUAUUCUGCUCUGGCCUUAUAUUUUGCAAGAGGAGUUACGGCAGUAUCGUAUAUAGUAAACGAAACAACAUUAGCUAUUUGGAACACUCUUCACAAUGUUUAUAUGAAAAUUCCCUCUAACGAAAAGUGAAAGGAAAUAGCAAAUCGCUUUUACGAAUUAUGGAACUUACCUCACUGCUUAGGAGCAAUUGAUGGCAAGCACGUUAGAAUACAAAAAAUUCACUACCAUUAGUAAAUGGCUUAUUCACAAUGAUAGAAACCGGCUAUGCAGGCAGAAAUAAUGAUGGAGGAAUUUUUCGUGCAUCAAAUUCAGGUCAGUGGUUGGAAAGAAAUAGUCUAAAUCCACCCGCUAGUGCUUGUUUGCCACAUGAUGAGAGCCAGGAAAAAGUACCAUAUUUCUUCGUAGGAGAUAACGCGUUUGCCUUAAACUGAUAAUUAAUGAGACCAUUCCCUAUACAAACACUGGAUAAUAAGAAAUGUAUAUUUAACUAUAGGUUGAGCAGGGGACGAAAAACCAUAGAAUGUAGUUUUGGCAUGGUAACUCAAAAAUUUCAAGUGUUGCUAACCCCCAUAAGGUGUACAAAAAUCUCUAAUAUUAUAAAUAUAAUAAAAUGUGUUUGUGUUUUACAUAAUUUUAUACGAAUUAAAGACGGGACGUGGUAUUCGACACCAACAUUCGAACAUCGACUGAAUAUCGCAGUUCAAAACUAUAAUUUGCUAGAAGAGAUU